CAAGUCGAACGAUGAAGCUUCUAGCUUGCUAGAAGUGGAUUAGUGGCGCACGGGUGAGUAAGGUAUAGUUAAUCUGCCCUACACAAGAGGACAACAGUUGGAAACGACUGCUAAUACUCUAUACUCCUGCUUAACACAAGUUGAGUAGGGAAAGUUUUUCGGUGUAGGAUGAGACUAUAUAGUAUCAGCUAGUUGGUAAGGUAAUGGCUUACCAAGGCUAUGACGCUUAACUGGUCUGAGAGGAUGAUCAGUCACACUGGAACUGAGACACGGUCCAGACUCCUACGGGAGGCAGCAGUAGGGAAUAUUGCGCAAUGGGGGAAACCCUGACGCAGCAACGCCGCGUGGAGGAUGACACUUUUCGGAGCGUAAACUCCUUUUCUUAGGGAAGAAAUCUGACGGUACCUAAGGAAUAAGCACCGGCUAACUCCGUGCCAGCAGCCGCGGUAAUACGGAGGGUGCAAGCGUUACUCGGAAUCACUGGGCGUAAAGGGCGCGUAGGCGGAUUAUCAAGUCUCUUGUGAAAUCUAAUGGCUUAACCAUUAAACUGCUUGGGAAACUGAUAGUCUAGAGUGAGGGAGAGGCAGAUGGAAUUGGUGGUGUAGGGGUAAAAUCCGUAGAUAUCACCAAGAAUACCCAUUGCGAAGGCGAUCUGCUGGAACUCAACUGACGCUAAGGCGCGAAAGCGUGGGGAGCAAACAGGAUUAGAUACCCUGGUAGUCCACGCCCUAAACGAUGUACACUAGUUGUUGGGGUGCUAGUCAUCUCAGUAAUGCAGCUAACGCAUUAAGUGUACCGCCUGGGGAGUACGGUCGCAAGAUUAAAACUCAAAGGAAUAGACGGGGACCCGCACAAGCGGUGGAGCAUGUGGUUUAAUUCGAAGAUACGCGAAGAACCUUACCUGGGCUUGAUAUCCUAAGAACCUUUUAGAGAUAAGAGGGUGCUAGCUUGCUAGAACUUAGAGACAGGUGCUGCACGGCUGUCGUCAGCUCGUGUCGUGAGAUGUUGGGUUAAGUCCCGCAACGAGCGCAACCCACGUAUUUAGUUGCUAACGGUUCGGCCGAGCACUCUAAAUAGACUGCCUUCGUAAGGAGGAGGAAGGUGUGGACGACGUCAAGUCAUCAUGGCCCUUAUGCCCAGGGCGACACACGUGCUACAAUGGCAUAUACAAUGAGACGCAAUACCGCGAGGUGGAGCAAAUCUAUAAAAUAUGUCCCAGUUCGGAUUGUUCUCUGCAACUCGAGAGCAUGAAGCCGGAAUCGCUAGUAAUCGUAGAUCAGCCAUGCUACGGUGAAUACGUUCCCGGGUCUUGUACUCACCGCCCGUCACACCAUGGGAGUUGAUUUCACUCGAAGCCGGAAUACUAAACUAGU
rnacentral:rRNA from 1 species